UGGGGAAUAUUGCACAAUGGAGGGAACUCUGAUGCAGCGACGCCGCGUGAGUGAUGAAGGAAUUCGUUUCGUAAAACUCUGUUCUAUGGGAAGAAAAGGACUGUACCAUAGGAGAAAGCUCCGGCUAAAUACGUGCCAGCAGCCGCGGUAAUACGUAUGGAGCGAGCGUUGUCCGGAAUUAUUGGGCGUAAAGGGUGCGCAGGCGGCUUUACAAGUUGGAUGUGAAAUAUUGUGGCUCAACCACAAACGUGCAUCCAAAACUGCAAAGCUUGAGUUGAGGAGAGGUAAGUGGAAUUCCUGGGGGAGCGGUGGAAUGCGUAGAUAUCAGGAGGAAUACCGGUGGCGAAGGCGACUUACUGGACUUAAACUGACGCUCAGGCACGAAAGCGUGGGGAGCAAACAGG
rnacentral:rRNA from 1 species